GCCCCAUAGGGAGGCAGGCAGACCCCAGGUACUGCCACAAAGGGAGCCGUGGGGAGCCCCAUAGGGAGCCAGACAGAGCCCAGGUACUGCCACAAAGGGAGCCAUUGGGAGUCCCAUAGGGAGCCAGAGCCAUCCUGGUACUGCCACAAAGGGAGCUGUGGGGAGCCCCAGAGGGAGCCAGAGCCGUCAUGGUAUUGCCACAAAGAGAGCCAUUGGGAGUCUCAAAGGGAGCCCCAUUGGGAGCCAGACAGAGCCCAGGUACUGCCACAAAGGGAGCCGUGGGGAGCCCCAUAGGGAGGCAGGCAGAGCCCAGGUACUGCCACAAAGGGAGCCGUGGGGAGCCCCAUAGGGACCCAGAGAGAUUCAG
rnacentral:lncRNA from 1 species